GCGCUUCCGCUCCUCUUCCUCGCUUCUCGCGUCACUGCGGAGCCCGGACUGCCCCAGCCGCUCCAGUACUGCGGUCACCGUGGUGCCCACCGUAACACUGGCAGCCUCAUGCGCAGGACAGACACUGCAAAACUAUGAGAACGUUUCUGUUAUUUUGAAGAAAGCUCAGAUUUUGAAAUUCAUGUGAAAAUGCUUCCCAUUCAGACAUAGUAUGCAGAAGAAUACAUAUUUUUAACACGUUUUUCAGAAAGCUGUGGUAUACAGUUUUCAAGGGGGCUAUAAUGCGGUAAGCUGAUUGGCCGCACCACCAGAGGAGCCCAGGGUCCCAUGUGCUCCAGCAGAGGGCAGUGUUGUACCAUUAAGGGUUUAUCAGAUUCCUCACGUACAGUACUCCCAGCUGUUUGGAUUACAGGGGGAGACUUUAAAGAAUUUCACAUAACAAGGGUCACCACUAGGUCAGCUGAGAUCGACCUUGGUUAUUGGAGUAUCAAAAUACUCCUCACAUUGUGGGACACUUUAUUGUGGCAGAGAAAUGAAAUGGAUAUACCUUUGCUCUUUCUUUAUUAAAAGCAUGCUUUUCAACUGGAUAGAAAAGAAUGUUUUUAACACCUGAAUUGCUGUGCGACAAAAUCCUUUAAAAAGGUCCUAUCAAUCCAUUGAGAGCCUAAAAUUUAUAGGGUUCUGUCUACAGAGAGUAUGACUUUCAGAUAUUAAGCUUUUAAAUGUUGAAGUCGCAUAUCGUAGCACUGUGUAAGUUGUGUACUGCAUUUUAGAUUGAACAUAUUUUAAAAAUAAUUUCAGGUGUUUCUAUAAAAAAAUCUAUAAAAAAUCACAAAUAGCAUUCCCGCAUUAAUAACCAAUU